rnacentral:lncRNA from 10 species
GAUUCUAAGGAAGAAAAAUACGUUGCAAAAGAACUGGCAGUGAGAACCUUUGAAGUGACCCCCAUCCGGGCAAAGGACUUGGAGUUUGGAGGAGUACCUGGUGUGUUUCUCAUCAUGUUUGGCCUGCCUGUGUUCCUCUUCCUGUUGCUGUUGAUGUGUAAACAGAAAGAUCCCAGUCUUCUGAAUUUCCCUCCUCCUUUGCCAGCUUUGUAUGAGUUAUGGGAAACCAGAGUAUUUGGGGUCUACCUCCUGUGGUUUUUGAUUCAAGUCCUGUUCUACCUACUGCCAAUUGGAAAGGUACGUUUAUGGUAAUUCUGUUUUGUUUUAAUAAGAUGAGGUCUCACUAUAUUGUCCAGGCGGGUCUCCAAUUUCUGGGAUCAAGUGAUCCUCUUGCCGCAGCCUCCUGAGUCGCUGGGACCACAGGCCUGUGCCAUGCUGCCCAGCCUUAGAGUAGUUUAAAGGUUAAAGGCUGUUGUUGGUCAUAAUUCCCAAAACUUAGUUCAUGAAGCCAUUUCUCUUGUGCUGUCUGUAUAACACUUGCUUAUUAGGAGGAACUUAAAAAAAAAUCUGAUUGAGAUUUCUUGUGUAACUUUUCAAACCAAAUAGAAAAGAAUAGGCUAUUUUGCAAAGUAGCCGACUCUCAGUGGAGGUUGCUAUGGAAAAAAAAUUCACUCUUAGUAUGUGUCAUUUCAGAUGCAGCAUUUUAAAUGAUUAAUUGAUAGGCUACUGGG